rnacentral:tRNA from 2 species
GCCGAAAUAGCUCAGUUGGGAGAGCGUUAGACUGAAGAUCUAAAGGUCCCUGUUUCAAUCCUGGGUUUCGGCA